GACGAACGCUGGCGGCGUGCUUAACACAUGCAAGUCGAACGGAAAGGCCUGCUUUCCCUUGUGGAUUGCGGGUACUCGAGUGGCGAACGGGUGAGUAACACGUGAGUGAUCUGCCCCCAACUUGGGUAUAAGCCUGGGAAACUGGGUCUAAUUCCCGAUAGGACUGCAGGGUGGUGCCUGUGGUGGAAAACGAUUUUCUAGUGGUUGGGGAUGAGCUCGCGGCCUAUCAGCUUGUUGGUGGGGUAAUGGCCUACCAAGGCGGCGACGGGUAGCCGGCCUGAGAGGGUGGACGGCCACAUUGGGACUGAGAUACGGCCCAGACUCCUACGGGAGGCAGCAGUGGGGAAUAUAGCACAAUGGGCGGAAGCCUGAUGCAGCGACGCGCGUGGGGGAUGACGGCCUUCGGGUUGUAAACUCCUUUCGACCGCGAGGAAGCCACCUGGUUGGAAGGGUGGUGACGGUAGUGGUAGAAGAAGCACCGGCUAACUACGUG
rnacentral:rRNA from 1 species